rnacentral:rRNA from 1 species
UCGAGGGGCAGCGGGGAGGUAGCAAUACUUCCGCCGGCGACCGGCGCACGGGUGAGUAACACGUAUGGAACCUGCCCGUAGCAGGGGGAUAAGCGGAAGAAAUUCCGUCUAAUACCGCGUAAUAACUCCGAGAGGCAUCUCUUGGGGUUUAAAGGGUAACACCGGCUACGGAUGGCCAUGCGGCGCAUUAGCUAGUUGGCGGGGUAACGGCCCACCAAGGCGACGAUGCGUAGGGGUUCUGAGAGGAAGGUCCCCCACACUGGUACUGAGACACGGACCAGACUCCUACGGGAGGCAGCAGUGAGGAAUAUUGGUCAAUGGGCGCGAGCCUGAACCAGCCAAGUCGCGUGAGGGAAGACGGUCCUAUGGAUUGUAAACCUCUUUUGUCGGGGAGCAAAAGACGUCACGUGUGGCGUUCCGAGAGUACCCGAAGAAAAAGCAUCGGCUAACUCCGUGCCAGCAGCCGCGGUAAUACGGAGGAUGCGAGCGUUAUCCGGAUUUAUUGGGUUUAAAGGGUGCGUAGGCGGAAGAUCAAGUCAGCGGUAAAAUUGAGAGGCUCAACCUCUUCGAGCCGUUGAAACUGGUUUUCUUGAGUGAGCGAGAAGUAUGCGGAAUGCGUGGUGUAGCGGUGAAAUGCAUAGAUAUCACGCAGAACUCCGAUUGCGAAGGCAGCAUACCGGCGCUCAACUGACGCUCAUGCACGAAAGUGUGGGUAUCGAACAGGAUUAGAUACCCUGGUAGUCCACACAGUANACGAUGAAUACUAAUUGUUCG